CCCAUGACUAAGCCCCGGUGCCUUGCUGCUUUCUAAAUCUUGUGGUCGGUGAAGGGGGGUGAGUUGAGCAUGCUGCAGAAAGGCGCAUUGGAAGUUGUCCACUGUGUCCAGACCUUGCUGACUACAUUCCAGUCUCCACACGUCCAGCGUGAGCAACAGAGACUAGAUUGUUUAAGAAGGGCCACAGAAGGGCACAGCCCAUCGACUUCGUUGGCCCUCUACAACUCCGACAGACACACUUCAUCAGUAGAAAGCUUCCACAGAACCUGUGCGUGUUCUCAGAAGGAAACCUUUUCACUGGAGGCCUUUGAGUACAUACUCGAAGCGCUUUUGUGGUACUAAACCACCCCUGUGACAUCUUUAAUUUAACCAAAACUUAGCAUCUGUGGGUUUCCUUUUAGAGCAGUGAGUUUCUCCGGUGAUUCGAUGGAAUCUGUUGCAUGCCAUUUCCCUGUGGCAGGAAUCUAUAGGCCUGACGGGAAGCAGUGCAGUGGUCACGAUGCAGCUCUAUCUUGUGACCUUCCUUCACUCCUCGUCCUGAUUGGUUCAUCCCCCCAGCCCUACUGAGUACUAGGCCCGGAGCGUAGGCCCAUGUGAGCGGGUCGGGCCGACCCAGUCAGCUGUCCGGGGUGCAGGGAGCCAAGGUGUGCACUGUCCCUGCAAGAUCCCCUGCAAGUGGGCCAAAGACAAAGAAUACUACAGUUUGGUCUCACACUCUUCAAGUAUAGGCCAUCCCUUGAUGCUUUUCCUGUUUGCAGAUGGGGAAGCCGAAAGUUGAUUUUCCUUUUUAAUUAAAUUGCCCAAUAUUGAGUAGGCCCGGAUGGGUUCAAGGGGGCAGAUCAAAGUCCCUGUCGCCAGUCUGCUCUCUGAGCCUGUGAUUUAUGCCACCUCCGGCGAGGCAUGUGCAAAUAAUGAAGUCUGCGAGCACAGUGCUGGGGACACAGCUGUGCCUGGAACCCAAAUGCCCCCAAAAUGAAAGCAAAUAUAAAUUGCGUAUUCACACCACAUUGUUUAAGUUUGCUCGGAACAAUUGAAUGGUUUAAGAAAAUGGGGGUUUUGCAGUUUUCACGUUGAGGGUAUUUUGUUUUUUAAAUAAUAAUGGGUCCCAGCUUAUGUUUAAUACAGCAUUUGUCACAGGUCAACUUAAUCAUUCAAGAAUUUGAAAUUAUUUCAUUUGGCCACCUUUUAAUUAUGGAAUUACUUGGAAUGAAAACUUAAACCCAACAUAAUUCUUUUUUUUUUAAACUUUUUAUUUAUUUACUUAUUCGUUUGUUGA